UGAAUUACAGGGCAAAACUGUUGUGAAAUAGUGACGCAAAGCUAAAGGGACUUUCUUAAGUCAGCCAGUUACUCAA
rnacentral:ncRNA from 1 species